rnacentral:rRNA from 1 species
UACGAACUGUGCAAACGUUAUUCGGAAUCACUGGGCUUAAAGGGUGCGUAGGCGGCUUGUUGCGUCCGCUGUGAAAGCCCGGGGCUUAACCCCGGGUCGGCAGUGGCUACGGGCAGGCUAGAGGUAGGUAGGGGAGAAUGGAAUUCCCGGUGUAGCGGUGAAAUGCGCAGAUAUCGGGAGGAACACCCAUGGCGAAGGCAGCAAACUGGGCAUCAACUGACGCUGAGGCGCGAAAGCGUGGGUAGCAAACAGG